ACACAAAGACACACACACACACAUCACCCCACACACACACACACCAUCCCCCACACACACCACCCCCCACACAAACAUCACCCCACACACAUCAACCCACCCACACAUCACGCCACACACACACACCACCCCACAUCACCCCACACACACAUAACCCCACACACAGACCUAUUGAUUGAUUGUCGAUGUCUUGGAAUUGUAGCGUGGAAUUGAGGUAGUGUAUCUAGAAGGAAGCAUUGGGGUUCUUGAGGAAGCUGAAUGGAUGGGAGCUUGCUGAUGAGGUUGUGCACUUUCGCCCAAAAAGUUCUGAGGAAAAUGCAAUCCCAGAAGAUAUGGGUCAAGGAUCCUGUGACGAGACCAAUCUCGCCACAUUGCAUUGGAGAAGCCUGGUUGCUCGCCUGCUGCCUUUGGACUAUGGCCCCCUGUUAAAAGACAUCUUUUUUUACCUGCAGAAAAGCUUCAUUCGUGCUUUUCUGCCUGGGGUUCGGUAGAUUUGUUUGAAUGUGUUAUACCACAGAUAGGAAUCCCAUGGAGCCCAUUCGUAUGAAACUGACUGUAAAGACUUUGGCUCCAUGGCGAUUAAAC